rfam:Ovis aries breed Texel chromosome 8, whole genome shotgun sequence.
UCCCAGGUGGCUCAGACGGCAAAGAAUCUGCUUGUAAUGCAGGAGACCCAGGUUCAAUCUCUGGGUUGGGAA